rnacentral:rRNA from 1 species
GAAACGACUGCUAAGACUGGAUAGGAGAUAAGAAGGCAUCUUCUUAUUUUUAAAAGACCUAGCAAUAGGUAUGCUUAGGGAAGAGCUUGCGUCACAUUAGUUAGUUGGUGGGGUAAUGGCCUACCAAGACGAUGAUGUGUAGCCGGGCUGAGAGGUCGAACGGCCACAUUGGGACUGAGACACGGCCCAAACUCCUACGGGAGGCAGCAGUAAGGAAUUUUCGGCAAUGGAGGAAACUCUGACCGAGCAAUGCCGCGUGAACGAUGAAGUAUUUCGGUACGUAAAGUUCUUUUAUUAGGGAAGAAAAGAUGGUGGAAAAACCAUUAUGACGGUACCUAAUGAAUAAGCCCCGGCUAACUAUGUGCCAGCAGCCGCGGUAAUACAUAGGGGGCAAGCGUUAUCCGGAAUUAUUGGGCGUAAAGGGUGCGUAGGCGGUUAAAUAAGUUUAUGGUCUAAGUGCAACGCUCAACGUUGUGAUGCUAUAAAAACUGUUUAGCUAGAGUUGGAUAGAGGCAAGUGGAAUUCCGUGUGUAGUGGUAAAAUGCGUAAAUAUACGGAGGAACACCAGAAGCGAAGGCGGCUUGCUGGGUCUUAACUGACGCUGAGGCACGAAAGCGUGGGGAGCAAACAGGAUUAGAUACCCUGGUAGUCCACGCCCUAAACGAUGAGUACUAAACGUUGGAUAAAACCAGUGUCGAAGUUAACACAUUAAGUACUCCGCCUGAGUAGUACGUACGCAAGUAUGAAACUUAAAGGAAUUGACGGGACUCCGCACAAGCGGUGGAUCAUGUUGUUUAAUUCGAAGGUACCCGAAAAACCUCACCAGGCCUUGACAUGCUUUUGCAAAGCUGUAGAAAUACAGUGGAGGUUAUCAGAAGCACAGGUGGUGCAUGGUUGUCGUCAGCUCGUGUCGUGAGAUGUUGGGUUAAGUCCCGCAACGAGCGCAACCCUUGUUGUUAAUUGCCAUCAUUAAGUUGGGGACUUUAGCAAGACUGCCAAUGAUAAAUUGGAGGAAGGUGGGGACGACGUCAAAUCAUCAUGCCCCUUAUGACCUGGGCUACAAACGUGAUACAAUGGCUGUUACAAAGGGUAGCUAAAGCGUAAGCUUCUGGCGAAUCUCAAAAAAGCAGUCUCAGUUCGGAUUGAAGUCUGCAACUCGACUUCAUGAAGUUGGAAUCGCCAGUAAUCGCGAAUCAGCAUGUCGCGGUGAAUACGUUCGCGGGGUUUGUACACACCGCCCGUCA